UCCAAGGCUGAUAGACACAACACACAUGAACAUAUUCCAGUUACUGUCUGAUGCUCAGGAAUAAAGAGAAAAGCUUUCAUACUCUAAGAAAGAACGACCAGGUUACCUAUGAGGGAAAAGAAAAGUUUAGAAAUGGCUCUUCUGCAGCUCUGGAAGCUCGUCAGAGAAUAUGUAUUGAUCUCCAAGAAGACGCUCCUCUUCCAGGAUCCCUCUAUGCAGCAGAUCCCAUCACCGGCCAGGAUUCUACUAAAGUUCACAGGGGAAAAAUUAAAUAAUUGUUAUGAAGAUCGGAAAAUAAAGCAUCUUCGCAGAAUGAUCCUGUCUGGGCUGUCUCCUGUCGUGGAGGAGAUCCAGGUGACUUCUACAAUGUCCCAGGGUACUGGUCACGGAAUAGGUUUUACUGAUAAA
rnacentral:lncRNA from 1 species